rnacentral:lncRNA from 1 species
AUCCUUCAACUUGCCUAAAUUUGGUAUAUAAUGUUCUAAUUCGUACCAAAACUCAACAUUUAAUACAAAGAUUCUGAAUAUGCUCUUAUAUGUUUGAAAUAUGUGUUUUCAAUCGUAAUGAUUUAAGAUGAGCUACAAUGUGGAAGAUCCAUAUCUCAAAUUAUGACUUUGAAAGCCUCUAUUGAAAAUCCUAUGUAAUUCAGAAUCUGAUUUUGUAUAAAAGCUUAAACUCCAUAUGAUUUCUAAAUAAAAUC